AAAAAUAAAAAAAGCCAAAGAAGAAAAGAAACCAGAACAGUUUGAAAAAUUGUUCUGUUCUGGUAGGUUAAAUUUUCCAGAAAUAAUUGAUAAUUUCUAGUUUUCUAGGAAUUCAGCCCUAAAUUUUUUACUCUGUAAUGGCUUCUAAUACCCCUUUGCUUCAACCUGACUGAGAUCAGACCUGACGGUUCAAUCUAUCAUUACUUAGUUUUUCUUCUUAUAUUAUAUAAUCGAAGAGGAGCAACUUCAAUUGCACAGCCUGAUGUCAAGGAAAUCAAGAAGCGACUUGAAGACCUGAUCUCUCAAGACUACCUGAAAAGAGACAAAGAUAAUGUGAAUUUGUUUAAGUACUCGGCUCGGCAUGGUGUGAUCUUGAUUGAUGACUUCACAACUGAAGUUGUUACUGCAGCUCCUUCCUACAAAUAGCAAAACCAGAUGAUGAUAUAUAUAUAUAUGUACUUGGAAUCACAGAAAAUCAGUUCCUCUUGAUUUCCUUUAAGGGAGGGGCUAUUGUGUGACUUUAGUUUUUAAUGAAAUUGUAUUUUCAA